rnacentral:rRNA from 1 species
AUGUCUCUUUUGCAGGACUAUCACAAUCUCCGUGCGACCGCCUACAACUCCAGGGUUCGGGAGCUGGAGACGCAGACUGCCCAUCUGACCGAGAGCCGAGAGGCCAAUGCCGCCCUGCAGCAACAGCUGGGCGAAGCCAACACCGCCCUGCGUGGCAAGGAGGAGGAGUGUACCAAGCUGGCCGAGGAGCGGGAUCGCCUGGUCACCCAGCUUGCCGAGCAGGCGGAAGCCCUCAAGGCGGCCCAACUGAAGGUGAAGACGACGGAGACCAACCUCCUCGCCGAGUUUGAGAUCGAGCGCUCUGCCUGGGCCAACAAGGAGGCCCAAAUGAUGUCCUGCUUUGGCAGCAUUGAAGACUUGGUCGAUGACUUCUUCCCAGGUCAUUCUGUAGUCGCAAUCCAAAUGAUCGAGGCCCAGCGUGAGGAGCAAAGGGUGGAGGGUGCGCAAAUCGCCGCUGAUGCUCCCCAGACUCUUGGCGAACAGGUCCUCAGCAUUCAGGCCCGACUUCGGCCCGCCCAUCGCACACUACGCCGCCUCCAGCGCAUCGGAGCCCAGGCGGUCUCCGCCCUCUGGCUGGGCUUGACGGCUCCGCGUACUCCAAGUCGGACUGCCGACUGGCUGCAGGUGGCGGCCGACCGCCUGGAAGCCUGGAAAUGCUCAGCAGCCCGGGCAGGGGCGCGCCGGGCCUUGGAAUUCGUCAAGGCGUGGUACCCUGGGCUAGAUCUAGCCCAGUUGACCACGUUCCGGCUGGAAGCGCAGGAGGAGUUGGCGGCGGUGGAAGCUGAGCUCAUCAACAGGGCGGCUGCGAUCGCCGACUUCACCGACACCAGCGUCUUUGUCCCGGAGGUGGUCGAGGAAGGCGGCGAAGCUCCGCAAGAGUGGCUUGGCUUGAACCCGGAGGACAGCGAAGAUUCAGCUGAAGUCAUCGACUCUAGCGACGAAGGGGAAGACGGGAAGGAGGAAGAGGAGGAGGAGGAGGAAGAUGAGGAGAGCAACGUUGAUCUGCCGGAGGUCGGGGCGGACGGUCAACCCCAACCUGACCGAGCCUCAAGCAACGAGCCGUGCACCAAGGUGCCGACCGCUACUGAAGGCGUCCAGGUGGGGGCCGACCAGCCAUCCGUUCCUCCGACGGACGCCACCGACUCCGUCCUCCAGUCCUCCGCCGCCCCGUCUGCAGCUGGCGAUUCCUCGGCCCAGAUGGAGCCGCCUGCCGCGCCAGGUGGUGCAGUUGACUCCAGCGUCCAGCCAGAGUCUUCUGCCACACCGUUCAGCGCUGCCCGGCCGGAUCCAUCUGCUGCACCAAUCGGCGCCGCCCAGCCGGAGUCUUCUGCUGCUCCUUAG